rnacentral:rRNA from 1 species
ACAGAGGGUGCAAGCGUUAUCCGGAUUUAUUGGGCGUAAAGCGUUUCGUAGGUGUUUUGGUAAGUUAUCUUUCAAAGACCACGGCUCAACCGGGGGAAGGGAGGUAAUACUGCCAGAAUUGAUUUAUGGUGGGGCUUCUGGAACUGAUGGUGUAGUAGUGAAAUACGUUGAUAUCAUCAGGAACUCCAAGGGCGAAGGCAGGAAGCUAACCAUGUAAUGACACUGAGGAACGACAGCUAGGGGAGCGAAAGGGAUUAGAGACCCCUGUAGUCCUAGCCGUAAACUUUGCUUGCUAGGAGUGGGGCCGUAAGGUUUCGCUCCGUAAGCUAACGCGUUAAGCAAGCCGCCUGGGGAGUACGGCCGCAAGGCUA